UGGCUCAUUAAAUCAGUUAUCGUUUAUUUGAUAGUACCUUACUACUUGGAUAACCCGUGGUAAUUCUAGAGCUAAUACAUGCUAAAAACCCCAACUUCGGGAGGGGUGUAUUUAUUAGAUAAAAAACCAAUGCCCUCCGGGGCUCCUUGGUGAUUCAUAAUAACUUCUCAGAUCGCAUAGCCUUGAGCUGGCGACGGUUCAUUCAAAUUUCUGCCCUAUCAACUUUCGAUGGUAAGGUAGUGGCUUACCAUGGUUUCAACGGGUAACGGGGAAUUAGGGUUCGAUUCCGGAGAGGGAGCCUGAGAAACGGCUACCACAUCCAAGGAAGGCAGCAGGCGCGCAAAUUACACAAUUCCGAUGCGGAGAUGUAGUGACAAUAAAUACUGAUACAGGGCUCUUUUGGGUCUUGUAAUUGGAAUGAGUACAAUUUAAACCUCUUAACGAGGAACAAUUGGAGGGCAAGUCUGGUGCCAGCAGCCGCGGUAAUUCCAGCUCCAAUAGCGUAUAUUAAAGUUGUUGCAGUUAAAAAGCUCGUAGUUGAACCUUUGGCCUGGCUGGCAGGUCCGCCUCACCGCGUGCACUUGUCCGGCCGGGCCUUUUCUUCUGGAGAACCGCAUGCCCUUCACUGGGUGUGUUGGGGACCAGGACUUUUACUUUGAAAAAAUUAGAGUGUUCAAAGCAGGCCUUUGCUCGAAUACGUUAGCAUGGAAUAAUAGAAUAGGACGUUGCGGUCCUAUUUUGUUGGUUUCUAGGACCGCCGUAAUGAUUAAUAGGGACAGUCGGGGGCAUCAGUAUUCAAUUGUCAGAGGUGAAAUUCUUGGAUUUAUUGAAGACUAACUACUGCGAAAGCAUUUGCCAAGGAUGUUUUCAUUAAUCAGUGAACGAAAGUUAGGGGAUCGAAGACGAUCAGAUACCGUCGUAGUCUUAACCAUAAACUAUGCCGACUAGGGAUCGGGCGGUGUUUCUAAUGUGACCCGCU
rnacentral:rRNA from 1 species